rnacentral:rRNA from 1 species
GCUACGGGUGGCAGCAGUGAGGAAUAUUGGUCAAUGGGCGGGAGCCUGAACCAGCCAAGUCGCGUGAGGGACGACGGUCCUAUGGAUUGUAAACCGCUUUUGUCGGGGAACAAAGGCGCCCACGGGUGGGCGGAUGAGUGUACCCGAAGAAAAAGCAUCGGCUAACUCCGUGCCAGCAGCCGCGGUAAGACGGGGGAUGCGAGCGUUAUCCGGUUUUAGUGGGUUUGAAGGGUGCGUAGGCGGACAGUCAAGUCAGCGGUAAAACUGCGGGGCUCACCGCCGGACAGCCGUUGAAACUGGCAGUCUUGAGUGGGCGAGAGGUAUGCGGAAUGCUUUGUGUAGCGGUGCAAUGCCUAGCUAUCACGCAGAACUCCGAUUGCGAAGGCAGCAUACCGGCGCCCGACUGACGCUGAGGCACGAAAGCGUGGGUAUCGAACAGGAUUAGAUACCCUAGUAGUC